UGCAACUCGCCUACACGAAGUCGGAAUCGCUAGUAAUCNCGGAUCAGCAUGCCGCGGUGAAUACGUUCCCGGGCCUUGUACACACCGCCCGUCACACCAUGGGAGUUUGUAACGCCCAAAGUCGGUGGCCUAACCUUUAUGGAGGGAGCCGCCUAAGGCGGGACAGAUGACUGGGGUGAAGUCGUAACAAGGUAGC
rnacentral:rRNA from 1 species